GGACAAUUCCGUUUAAGGAACUUGCACGACUUUUGCAAUAUAAUAUUGUUGUAAUAUACUUUGCAUGGUACUUAUGACGCAUCAGAGAAAAAUUAAGCAACAAAAAGUCUUUUUAAUUGCCGUUUGAUACAAUGUAAACAAACCCACCAGCACAGAAUCAGGACCCACCAGCACCUGACAGGACCAAAUCACCAGCACAGAACGUUCUCUCGCAGGACAACCAUACCCACC
rnacentral:lncRNA from 1 species